rfam:Vibrio sp. JCM 19236 DNA, contig00029.
UCAUCACCACCAUCACCCAGUUUAGUCUUUCGGGCGAGGUACGCGAAUCCGGGAGACAAGCUCCCGGCGGUUAAAUCAGAGAUAUAAAAGAUUUAAACCCUUGGGAGCCCAGCCCCAAGGGUUUUUUCGU